rnacentral:rRNA from 1 species
GGGUUGUGAGGUUAAGCGACUAAGCGUACACGGUGGAUGCCCUGGCAGUCAGAGGCGAUGAAGGACGUGCUAAUCUGCGAUAAGCGUCGGUAAGGUGAUAUGAACCGUUAUAACCGGCGAUUUCCGAAUGGGGAAACCCAGUGUGUUUCGACACACUAUCAUUAACUGAAUCCAUAGGUUAAUGAGGCGAACCGGGGGAACUGAAACAUCUAAGUACCCCGAGGAAAAGAAAUCAACCGAGAUUCCCCCAGUAGCGGCGAGCGAACGGGGAGCAGCCCAGAGCCUGAAUCAGUGUGUGUGUUAGUGGAAGCGUCUGGAAAGGCGCGCGAUACAGGGUGACAGCCCCGUACACAAAAAUGCACAUGCUGUGAGCUCGAUGAGUAGGGCGGGACACGUGGUAUCCUGUCUGAAUAUGGGGGGACCAUCCUCCAAGGCUAAAUACUCCUGACUGACCGAUAGUGAACCAGUACCGUGAGGGAAAGGCGAAAAGAACCCCGGCGAGGGGAGUGAAAAAGAACCUGAAACCGUGUACGUACAAGCAGUGGGAGCCUCUUUAAUGGGGUGACUGCGUACCUUUUGUAUAAUGGGUCAGCGACUUAUAUUCUGUAGCAAGGUUAACCGAAUAGGGGAGCCGAAGGGAAACCGAGUCUUAACUGGGCGUUAAGUUGCAGGGUAUAGACCCGAAACCCGGUGAUCUAGCCAUGGGCAGGUUGAAGGUUGGGUAACACUAACUGGAGGACCGAACCGACUAAUGUUGAAAAAUUAGCGGAUGACUUGUGGCUGGGGGUGAAAGGCCAAUCAAACCGGGAGAUAGCUGGUUCUCCCCGAAAGCUAUUUAGGUAGCGCCUCGUGAAUUCAUCUCCGGGGGUAGAGCACUGUUUCGGCAAGGGGGUCAUCCCGACUUACCAACCCGAUGCAAAC